UACGAAGGGGGCUAGCGUUGUUCGGAAUUACUGGGCGUAAAGCGUACGCAGGCGGCUUAACAAGUCAGGGGUGAAAUCCCAAGGCUCAACCUUGGAACUGCCUUUGAAACUGUUAAGCUAGAGUCCGAGAGAGGAUGGUGGAAUUCCUAGUGUAGAGGUGAAAUUCGUAGAUAUUAGGAGGAACACCGGUGGCGAAGGCGGCCAUCUGGCUCGGUACUGACGCUCAUGUACGAAAGCGUGGGGAGCAAAC
rnacentral:rRNA from 1 species